CCAAAUUCUUUUGUGGCUGUUACAUCCUUAAUGCUUAAAAAGGGGAAAUAAAGUGUCAGAAGAUCUUGGUAGCCAAGGGAAGGAAGUCAUGUUUAAAAUAUCUUUGGGCAGCAAAACUUAUCUGUUUAUUACAUGCCUGCCUGCCUGUAGCUGUAUCAUCCAAGCUGUGAGCUGCCCCAGCCUCCUGCUGCUCUCCAGGUCCUCCUCCUCCCUCAGCUCCUCCUCCUCCUUUCAGAGUUCACCGAGUCCCGUUUAAUGCUGCCUUCACCGGCAUAGGUGUGUGGCCAUCCACUGGAGCAUGGGCAGCCUACAGUGCCACACCCUUCCUUCAGCAGCCAUCUGUUGCCAACAGCUCCUCAGCUGGAGGCGGGGCCUCAGGAGCGCAGAUCCCGCAGAUCCCGUGCAGACAAGAAUGUUGACUGGCUUGCUCUUCUGCAGGUUGUCAGUAGGUAGUAGCCACAGCUGCUCUGGGUGCUGAGUGUGACAGCCC